UAUAAAUGUUAAUUUUUAAUACCAGGGUAGUAAUAGUUAUGUUCUUGAAACCCAAAGAAUUUGGCGGUAUUUUAGUCCUUUCAGAGGAAUCUGUCCCGUAAUCGACAAUCCACGAGAUAAAAUUACUCAUUUUUGUAUUUCAGUUUGUAUACCUCCGUCAUAAGAAGAUCUUUUUAGAGAUAAUUUUCUUAAUAUAUUGAAUAUAAAAUGUCAGGUCAAGGUGCAAUUUAUAAAUGAGAGGAGAUGGAUUACAAUAAAUUUAUUUAAAUGGAUUAGAUUAUUUAAUUUUUCUAUGAAGGCGGAUUUGAUAGUAAUUUUAAUUAUUUGUUAUUGUGAUUUUGGCUCUAAAAUAUGC
rnacentral:rRNA from 1 species